rnacentral:rRNA from 1 species
UACAGAGGGUGCAAGCGUUGUUCGGAAUUAUUGGGCGUAAAGGGCGCGUAGGCGGUGCUGUAAGUCUGUAGUGAAAUCUCUGGGCUCAACUCAGAGUCUGCUAUAGAAACUGCAGUGCUGGAGUGUGGGAGAGGUGAGUGGAAUUCCUGGUGUAGCGGUGAAAUGCGCAGAUAUCAGGAGGAACACCAGCGGCGAAGGCGGCGCUCUGGGCCGGAACUGACGCUGAGGAGCGAAAGCGUGGGUAGCAAACAGG